rnacentral:rRNA from 1 species
UUCGGUUAAGUCCGCUAACGAGCGCAACCCUCGCUGUGUGUUACAAGUGUCACACGGAACUGCCGGUCAUAAACCGGAGGAAGGUGGGGAUGACGUCAAGUCAGCAUGGCCUUUAUAUCCUGGGCUACACACACGCUACAAUGGGAAGGGACAAUAGGUUGCGAAGCCGCGAGGCGGAGCCAAUCCAGCAAAACUUCCCUCAGUUCAGAUUGCAGGCUGCAACUCGCCUGCAUGAAGUUGGAGUUGCUAGUAACCGCAGGUCAGCCAUACUGCGUUGAAUACGUUCCCGGGGCUU